ensembl:lncRNA
CUCCCACAGUUAGAGCUAUAUGAGAGCUAAAGACCCCAUCCCUCCGGCCUUCUACAGCUCCGUGGAGACCCAUUAUGGCCCUGUAUUGAAAGCAAUCAAUCAAUCAGUCCUGAUCAACUGAAAGGCUGGGCUCCAGCUCCCCAUAAUGGCAGAAGAAGAUGGUGGUUCUCCAACCACGGGUUCUGAUGAAGAACACCCAGCUGCUAGCUUACCGUAACAAGCAGGGCAACCACAAGGCUUGGACUCAGCCUGUGACCAUGAAACUGGAGCUGUCUGGAUACACUGGAGCUCAAGUUCUGCCACAUUGCUAUUAAACACUAGCAUGAGACCAUUACAGGUUUCAACUCACUCUUGGCACAAGGAGAAAGCAACUUCUAACAGGAUCAGAAAGACUUAAAGUGAGGUGUGGCUCCUCCUCCCCACUUACUGGUGAUGUCAAGACAGCUAACACUCCUCACAGCCCUCAAAAUAGAGGUCCAUCCAAAACCUCCCAGGAUGCUCUUGAAAACAAGGAAAAUGAGGGGGUCUGGAUGUUCCCAGAGACAGCGAGCUUUAGUGUCUCUAAUGAGAAAAAAAAAAAAAAGACAUCCUCAGCUGUGGGCCCUGAUGUUCCAUUUCUUUGACUCCCUGCAGCUGAAGGAGGCAUUUUCAUCACAGCGGCCUAGGUGCAUGUGUGCAUGGGUCUAUGUCCACAGCCUGCCUAUUUCUAACGCCCGCUCCCUGCCCCACAAAAUGAGGUUCAACAACUAUAAUCCAGCACUGCAAAGGAUGUGCAUUUAUAUUUUAAGUGCAUACAAAAUAAAGUAUUUCUCCUAGCCUUGCUGUGUCAAUAAGAGCAAAAACUAAACCACAUUACUCUCCAGAUUUUAGUUGUCACUACCAAUUUCCAGAUUCUGCUUAGGAGAGCAGUCUCAAAUAAGAAAACUGAAGAUAAGAAAGAAUCUGGGGAAGCUGUAAACAGCUGCCAACUUCCGUCCCCAACGUGGGUCCUCCCCUCCUCCCCCUCUGCUGCAGUCCUGGCUUUUGGAACCCGCUGCCCUCUGGGGACACAGUCCGCCCUCCAC